GAUAAGAUGACUGAAUUAUAGGUGAUAAAUUGUAAAUUUAUUUAUGGUUAAAUAACCUCUUAUCA
rnacentral:tRNA from 1 species